UCAGAAGGGAGCCAGGGACUAUAGAUCAGGAGCCAAAACUUGGAUAAUGAGUGGAACAUCUAUGAACACCUAGAAGAACAGUUAUAGCAAAACACAUGACUGAAUGGGACAAUAUAGUGAAAAUGCAAACUUUGGCCUAGAGUGAGAGCCGACGCCCCUUCACUGGGGUGGAUGAGCAGCAGAGACAGGGAGAUCUGGCCCUCCCAGAACAGAGUGAAGCUGACC